AUGGGCAGCAGCAAGUCCAUGGCAGAGCAGCUCGAAAUCGAUCCCCAACGACGACACCACCGGCCGCUGCUCCAUUGCGAAGUAGCCGUGGCAGGCACCGCAAGUAUGGAGGAGGUUAAAGGGGAGAGGAGGAAGAAGGUGGCCGCCGAAGGGGAGAGGAGGAAGGAGGUGGCCGCCGCGGAAGGACUGGUGUGCAGCGGGAGGAAGGGAGGGUGCCGGCUUGGGAGUGAGGCGUGGUGGAGAGGGAGGGAGCAGCGCGGAUCCUGGGUGGGCGGCGAGGCAGAGUGUGCCGUGCGCACGGGGGAGCCGGCCCACCGGGAUCCCGUGCUGGCGCGCCGCGGUGGACAGGGGAAACCGGUGGAGACGGGGGGAAACGGGCGAGGGAGUCACGGAGGAAAGCGGUGGAGACGGGGGCGUUCUCGCAGGAAAAAAAUGGAAGUGGAGGCCGAUGGGCGGGCUGGGCUGGGAUUACGUCCAUCGUGA
rnacentral:rRNA from 1 species